rfam:Ichthyophthirius multifiliis unplaced genomic scaffold scaff_1120509251235, whole genome shotgun sequence.
GGGCUUGUGGUUUAGUGGUAGAAUACUAGUUUCGGGUACUAGUGAUCCGGGUUCGAUUCCCGGCAAGCCCU